AACACGUGGGUAACCUGCCUUAUAGUGGGGGAUAGCCUUUCGAAAGGAAGAUUAAUACCGCAUAAGAUUGUAGUAUCGCAUGAUAUAGCAAUUAAAGGAGCAAUCCGCUAUAAGAUGGACCCGCGUCGCAUUAGCUAGUUGGUGAGGUAAUGGCUCACCAAGGCGACGAUGCGUAGCCGACCUGAGAGGGUGAUCGGCCACAUUGGAACUGAGACACGGUCCAGACUCCUACGGGAGGCAGCAUG
rnacentral:rRNA from 1 species